rnacentral:rRNA from 1 species
UACAGAGGUGGCAAGCGUUGUUCGGAAUUACUGGGCGUAAAGGGCGCGUAGGCGGCCUUCUUAGUCGGACGUGAAAUCCCCAGGCUCAACUUGGGAACUGCGUCCGAUACUGGAUGGCUUGAGUGCGGGAGAGGGAUGUGGAAUUCCAGGUGUAGCGGUGAAAUGCGUAGAUAUCUGGAGGAAUACCGGUGGCGAAGGCGGCAUCCUGGACCAUUACUGACGCUGAGGCGCGAAAGCUAGGGGAGCGAAUGGG